rnacentral:rRNA from 1 species
CAAGUCGGACGGGAUUGAAGAGCUUGCUUUUCAUGAGAGUGGCGCACGGGUGCGUAACACGUAUGUAACCUACCCAUAUCAGGGGGAUAGUCUCUCGAAAGAGAGAUUAAGCCCGCAUAAAAUCACAGUACAGCAUUGUAUAAUGAUCAAAUAUUUAUAGGAUAUGGAUGGGCAUGCGGAACAUUAGCUAGUUGGUAAGGUAACGGCUUACCAAGGCUACGAUGUUUAGGGGAUCUGAGAGGAUGACCCCCCACACUGGUACUGAGACACGGACCAGACUCCUACGGGAGGCAGCAGUAAGGAAUAUUGGUCAAUGGGCGGAAGCCUGAACCAGCCAUGCCGCGUGCAGGAAGACGGCCCUAUGGGUUGUAAACUGCUUUUGCAGGGGAAUAAACCUACCAAUGUAUUGGUAGCUGAAUGUACUCUGAGAAUAAGGAUCGGCUAACUCCGUGCCAGCAGCCGCGGU